rnacentral:rRNA from 1 species
AUUGAACGCUGGCGGCAUGCCUUACACAUGCAAGUCGAACGGUAACAGGUCUUCGGAUGCUGACGAGUGGCGAACGGGUGAGUAAUACAUCGGAACGUGCCUAGUAGUGGGGGAUAACUACUCGAAAGAGUGGCUAAUACCGCAUGAGAUCUACGGAUGAAAGCAGGGGAUCGCAAGACCUUGUGCUACUAGAGCGGCCGAUGGCAGAUUAGGUAGUUGGUGGGAUAAAAGCUUACCAAGCCGACGAUCUGUAGCUGGUCUGAGAGGACGAUCAGCCACACUGGGACUGAGACACGGCCCAGACUCCUACGGGAGUCAGCAGUGGGGAAUUUUGGACAAUGGGCGAAAGCCUGAUCCAGCAAUGCCGCGUGCAGGAUGAAGGCCUUCGGGUUGUAAACUGCUUUUGUACGGAACGAAAAGCCCUGGGUUAAUACCCUGGGGUCAUGACGGUACCGUAAGAAUAAGCACCGGCUAACUACGUGCCAGCCGCCACAGUAA